UGGGGAAUCUUCCGCAAUGGACGAAAGUCUGACGGAGCAACGCCGCGUGUAUGAUGAAGGUCUUCGGAUUGUAAAGUACUGUCAUUGGGGAAGAACGGUUUUCUUGAAAAGAUUGAGAAGACAUGACGGUACCCAAGGAGGAAGCCCCGGCUAACUACGUGCCAGCAGCCGCGGUAAUACGUAGGGGGCAAGCGUUGUCCGGAAUUAUUGGGCGUAAAGGGCGCGUAGGCGGGCCUUUAAGUCCGGUGUGAAAGAUCAGGGCUCAACCCUGAGAGUGCAUCGGAAACUGGAGGCCUUGAGGACAGGAGAGGAAAGUGGAAUUCCACGUGUAGCGGUGAAAUGCGUAGAUAUGUGGAGGAACACCAGUGGCGAAAGGCGACUUUCUGGACUGUAACUGACGCUGAGGCGCGAAAGCGUGGGGAGCAAACAGGAUUAGAUACCCUGGUAGUCCACGCCGUAAACGAUGAGUGCUAAGGUGUAGAGGGUAUCGACCCCUUCUGUGCGCAGUUAACACAAUAAGCACU
rnacentral:rRNA from 1 species